GACGAACGCUGGCGGCGUGCCUAAUACAUGCAAGUAGAACGCUGAAGCUUGGUGCUUGCACCGAGCGGAUGAGUUGCGAACGGGUGAGUAACGCGUAGGUAACCUGCCUGGUAGCGGGGGAUAACUAUUGGAAACGAUAGCUAAUACCGCAUAAGAGUAGAUGUUGCAUGACAUUUGCUUAAAAGGUGCAAUUGCAUCACUACCAGAUGGACCUGCGUUGUAUUAGCUAGUUGGUGAGGUAACGGCUCACCAAGGCAACGAUACAUAGCCGACCUGAGAGGGUGAUCGGCCACACUGGGACUGAGACACGGCCCAGACUCCUACGGGAGGCAGCAGUAGGGAAUCUUCGGCAAUGGACGGAAGUCUGACCGAGCAACGCCGCGUGAGUGAAGAAGGUUUUCGGAUCGUAAAGCUCUGUCGUAAGAGAAGAACGAGUGUGAGAGUGGAAAGUUCACACUGUGACGGUAUCUUACCAGAAAGGGACGGCUAACUACGU
rnacentral:rRNA from 1 species